UCCUUGGCUCAGAUUGAACGCUGGCGGAAUGCUUUACACAUGCAAGUCGAGCGGCAGCGCGGGGGCAACCCUGGCGGCGAGCGGCGAACGGGUGAGUAAUACAUCGGAACGUGCCCAGUAAUGGGGGAUAACACAGCGAAAGUUGUGCUAAUACCGCAUACGCCCUGAGGGGGAAAGCGGGGGAUCGCAAGACCUCGCGUUAUUGGAGCGGCCGAUGUCGGAUUAGCUAGUUGGUGAGGUAAAGGCUCGCCAAGGCGACGAUCCGUAGCGGGUCUGAGAGGACGGCCCGCCACACUGGGACUGAGACACGGCCCAGACUCCUACGGGAGGCAGCAGUGGGGAAUUUUGGACAAUGGGGGCAACCCUGAUCCAGCCAUUCCGCGUGAGUGAAGAAGGCCUUCGGGUUGUAAAGCUCUUUCGGCAGGAACGAAACGGUCGUCGCUAAUACCGAUGGCUAAUGACGGUACCUGAAGAAGAAGCACCGGCUAACUACGUGCCAGCAGCCGCGGUAAUACGUAGGGUGCGAGCGUUAAUCGGAAUUACUGGGCGUAAAGCGUGCGCAGGCGGUUUUAUAAGACAGAUGUGAAAUCCCCGGGCUUAACCUGGGAACUGCGUUUGUGACUGUAAGACUCGAGUGUGGCAGAGGGGGGUGGAAU
rnacentral:rRNA from 1 species